UACAUGUGGGGCAAGCGUUGUUCGGAAUUACUGGGCAUAAAGGGUGCGUAGGCGGUUUGUUAAGUCACAGGUGAAAGUUUUCGGCCCAACCGGAAAAUUGCCUGUGAUACUGGCGAACUUGAGUGCGUGAGGGGUAGGGGGAACGAGCAGUGUAGCGGUGAAAUGCGUAGAUAUCGGGAGGAACACCAAUGGCGAAGGCAGCUCGCUGGGACGUGACUGACGCUGAGACGCGAAAAGCGUGGGGGAGCAAACAGG
rnacentral:rRNA from 1 species